rnacentral:SRP_RNA from 1 species
GUGCAGGUCUUGUGCGGCGGGGUGCUGCGAACCAUGUCAGGCGGGGAACCGAGCAGCAUUAAGCAGAUUUCCUCGGGCGAUACAAAUCCGCCUGCGCGUC